rnacentral:tRNA from 1 species
GCCUGGGUGGCUCAGUCGCUUGAGCGUCCGACUUCGGCUCAGGUCAUGAUCUUGCGGUCUGUGAGUUCGAGCCCCACAUCAGGCU